rnacentral:rRNA from 1 species
AGUGGUAGCAAUACCAUGAGUAAAGUGGCGCACGGGUGAGUAACACGUGACUAACCUACCCUGGAGUGGGGGAUAACUGAGGGAAACCUUAGCUAAUACCGCAUAAUACCUACGGGUCAAAGGAGCAAUUCGCUCUGGGAGGGGGUCGCGGCCGAUUAGUUAGUUGGCGGGGUAAUGGCCUACCAAGGCUGCGAUCGGUAGCCGGCCUGAGAGGGCACACGGCCACACUGGCACUGAAACACGGGCCAGACUCCUACGGGAGGCAGCAGUGGGGAAUCUUGCACAAUGGGGGCAACCCUGAUGCAGCGACGCCGCGUGAGCGAUGAAGCCCUUCGGGGUGUAAAGCUCUUUCGGCAGGGAAGAUAAUGACGGUACCUGCAGAAGCAGCUGCGGCUAACUACGUGCCAGCAGCCGCGGUAAUACGUAGGCAGCAAGCGUUGUUCGGAGUUACUGGGCGUAAAGGGUGUGUAGGCGGCUUUCUAAGUUUGGUGUGAAAUCUCCCGGCUUAACCGGGAGGGUGCGCCGAAGACUGGGGAGCUAGAGUAUGGGAUGGGAAAGUGGAAUUCCUGGUGUAGCGGUGAAAUGCGUAGAUAUCAGGAGGAACACCUGCGGUGUAGACGGCUUUCUGGACCAUUACUGACGCUGAGACACGAAAGCGUGGGUAGCAAACAGGAUUAGAUACCCUGGUAGUCCUAGCCCUAAACGAUGGAUGCU